GUGCCAGCAGCCGCGGUAAUACGAACCGUCCAAACGUUAUUCGGAUUUACUGGGCUUAAAGGGUAUGUAGGCGGCGCUUCAAGUCGGGUGUGAAAUCCCUCGGCUCAACCGAGGAACUGCGCCCGAUACUGGAGUGCUUGAGGGAGACAGAGGUAAGCGGAACUGAUGGUGGAGCGGUGAAAUGCGUUGAUAUCAUCAGGAACACCGGUGGCGAAAGCGGCUUACUGGGUCUCUUCUGACGCUGAGAUACGAAAGCUAGGGGAGCGAAGGGGAUUAGAAACCCCCGUAGUCC
rnacentral:rRNA from 1 species